UAUGGACAUCCAUCGAAAAUAUUAGCAUAAGUCUAAUCAUUGUACCUAAUUACAUUUUUUACAUUAAAUAAUGGAGUCUACGGCGGACCACCAAGGCGACAAGUUGGAUUUCCUCGUUCUUCUUUCAAUUUAAGUACAUAGCCCAAAUUCUCAAAUAAGUCAUUGUUGUUUCGUUGAACUAACGCGGUUGGGAAAAACUCUUCCUGAUCCUACACGACUCUAAGUCGAGUUAUCGGUGUGCGCAUAAAUUAACCGAUGCUCAUAUUUAUUCCAAAAAAUUAAGAUUGAAUUCGCGUCUCAAGUAUUGAGUAAUACGGUCGUUUCAGGUAUGUCGUUCCUAUAUAGCUCGGGACCCUUAAGCUCGAAUAGUAGGAUCUUUAUUAAUACCGCGGAAUUCAUUUCGUUUUUUAAUAAAUUAUUUGAUAUUUUGAAUAGCAGUUUCAUUGAGGCUGUUGUAUCCACUAAAAAAGUGUUUGUGAGUUUCCCAGAACAGUUAAAGUUUAUAUAUUUAUAAACUAUUCGGGUCGUAGAUGAUUUAGAAAACAACGCAACCAAUAAUUUUAGUUUUGUAAAGGGGUGGGUGUUAAACAUAAACAGUUUUAGACGAUUGUGGCGAUUUUUGUCACGCUGAGGUUUUCCGCUCCUAAAGACGAGACGACUAUGUCAGAAAAGCUUAGAACAUUUUUUGGUCAGAUUCGAAGCAGAGAAAGUACCAGAGUAACGCUCUAUAUGUUUCUAGUUUGGUUAGGAAAUCGUGGAGCUUAUGCUACGUAAAAGGAAACUAUGAGCUGCCUUUAGAACCUGUUGCUACUGUAUUUUCGAAACAUAUUAAUAAUGUUCUAUUCAAUGUGUGCAAUGAUCCACUUUUGAAUGACCUUUCUUUGUAGGAUUUUCAAGGCUUACCACGGCCUCAACACUCCCUCGUUAGAUCAAUUACAUUAGAUAGUACUCUAGACCAUGCGUGUACUUUUGCAGCUAUUUUUAUUUAAAACUUUUAAAGUCACCUUAACUUUCCUCAACAAUGGAAAAAGUCAACUAUAGUGAUGAUACCUAAGCCUGAAAAGGACAAAAUGCCCGCCAUCCUCCUAUAGGCCCAUCAGCUUGUUAUCCUACAUGUCGAAAUUAUUUGAAAGACUUCUUAUGCUCCGAAUUAAGCCACAUCUUCAAACCCACAACAUAAUACCAUCUCACCAAUUUGGCUUCAGGGAAAAGCAUGGAACGAUCGAGCAAGUACAUAGGAUCACAUCUGAAAUUCGAACAGCUUUUGAAAAACGGGAAUAUUGCUCUGCAAUAUUUCUUGAUGUCGCGCAGGCUUUUGAUCGAGUAUGGUUAGAUGGUCUUAUGUAUAAAAUAAAAACGCUUCUCCCGCAAAACACCCACGAACUGUUUAAGUCCUAUCUUUAUGAUCGAAAUUUUGUAGUUCGAUGUAACACCACUACAUCUGAAGCCCAAACGAUUGAAGCUGGUGUACCACAAGGCAGUGUUCUUUGCCCAAUGUUAUAUGUCUUAUACACUUCAGAUAUCCCGGUAAACGACCGCUUGACUAUGUCUACUUUUGCCGAUGACACUGCAAUAAUCAGCCGUUCCAAGUGCCCAAUUCAUGCAAAUGCGCUCCUAGGAAAUCAUAUUGAAGCUGUAGCCAACUGGCUCGCAAACUAGAGGAUAAAGGUUAACGAGCAAAAAUGUAAGCACGUUACAUUUACCCUUAACAAAAGAAGCUGUUCGCCUUUGACACUGAAUAACGUAUAAAUACCACAAAGCAAUCAUGUUACUUACAUAGGGGUCUAUCUGGAUAGGCGACUCACUUGGCGAAACCACAUAGAGGCUAAAAGGACUUACCUUAAGUUAAAGGCAGCUUCUUUGCACUGGCUUAUUAACUCUCGCUCAGCCCUGAGUCUGGAGUAUAAAGUCAUAAUAUACAACACAGUUUUAAAACCAAUCUGGACCUAUGGGUGUGAGCUGUGGGGCAACGCGAGUAGCAGCAACAUCGAAAUUCUUCAUCGUAUGGAAUGAAAAAUUCUUCGUAUAAUCAUCGUGGUACCGUGGUAUAUCCGAAAUGAGAACAUCCAACGCGACUUAAAAAUUCCAGACGUACGAACUGAAAUAGAACACCGAAGCGCGAAAUAUGCAUUGAAACUACAUUCACCCAAACCAACUACCAAGAUCAUUAUUGCGUGUGAACAAGAGCUCAAGAUUACGUAGAAACGACCUACCAGCCCAGACGUAAUAUAUCUUAGGCCCAGUUUAAAACAAAAAACAAAAAAAAAAAAAAAAAUAAUAAUAAUAAUAGUGACCCAUGUAGGGUGUAAAUUAAGUGAGUAGUUUAAGAUUCGAAAACUUAUUGUUAGGCUCCUAAGCAAGGGAGAUUCAAUAAAUAAUGGUAUGGUUAAAUAAAAAAAAAAGUUCACAACUGCAAUAGAGCACCAAGCUCAAUAAAAGACAAGCUCCAACUAAACUUGAUCUGGGUUCCCGGCCACAGGAACAUUUUCGGUAACGAAAAAGCAGACGAGUUGGCAAAGGCAGGAGCUUUCCUCAAUGAAUCCGAGGAGGUUUGAGAGAGAAGGUGAAACAUAAUAGCAGAUACAGGAGGUUCUACGAAUAGUGUAUCAAAAUGGCACAUCAAGUGCUAAUUGAGCCCGAUAGGGCUGCACUUCUACCUACCUACCUAUAUAUAUGUAGGUAUAUUAGCCCUAAAGGAUUCUAUUGGUGAGGACCAUUACUACCAGGCUACUAUCAUGCAAAAUGUCUUAUAUCACUGAACCCAAUGUUGCCACCAAAUCUUGGAAGAAUUCGUUGAUUUGUUUUAAAAUAUAUUCGGAGCUGACUGUACUAUUCAAUAUACUCCUCUACAUAACUUUUCCACUUACUAUAAGUUUGAAAAUCACAUACAAAUACCCAAAAUUAAUAAAAAACGAAGUAGAAUUUAAAUAAAUAAAAAGACUCCUAUUGUUUUAGUCCAAAAUUAGGCCCCACAAAGUAACAGACGUGACAGACUAAUCUGGUAUCGCGAUAUAGUAUCGGCACAUUGUUUAUUGGGUGUUGAAAACUACUUUUAAGAACCAUUGGAAUCGUUAUCUGGUAUAGCUAUUUGUUUGAAAAAUACAUUCUGUCAAAUAAGCACCCGGAAAUUCUCAUUUUAAUGUUUCCCGCUGAGAAUAUUUCAAAAAAAAAUUUUUUCCAGGUUGGCACAACUGUCAGCCACUAUUCCGUCAAUUUUUAUUGCUAUGUGUCAUUUAGUUUGUUUACGGCGUUAUUAGGAACAAGUCAACCUUUUGUGUGCGUUGCAUUUUUACUAUGGAUAAAAAUAUUGAACAAAGAGUUUGAGUGAAAUUUUGUGUUUCUUGAAAUGUUGAAAAAAAACAUCUGAUAAUUCAACCAUGUCGAAAACUUAAGUUUACGAUUGGUAGAAAUCGUUCAAAGAAGGGCGAGAAAAAGCGAUUUGCAACGUUCAGGACGGCUGUCGACCUCUUGAACUGAAUAAAACGUCGACAAAAUAAAGGAAAUGGUGCUCGAAAAUCGUCAUUAUAGUUUGCGAGAGAUAGCCCAAAUAAUGGGCAUAUCUCAUGAGACCACUCGUCAUAUUUUGGUUGAUGGUUUGGGUAUGCGAAAAGUCGCAGCGCGAUUGGUGCCAAAAUAUCUGAAUUUUCUUCAAAAAGUGAAUCGCGGUAAGGUGGCUGAAGACAUGCUUGAACGCGUAAAUACCGAUCCAACGUUCAUCGAGCGCAUCAUAACUGGUGACGAGACAUGGGUUUUCGAGUACGACAUGCAAACAAGACAACAAUCAUCGGAAUGGCGCGACAAAAAUGAGACGAACCGAAAAAAAUCGCAUCUCACAAAAAGGUUGACUUGUUCCUAAUGACGCCGUAAACAAACUAAAUGACACAUAGCAAUAAAAAUUGACAAAAUAGUGGCUGACAGUUGUGCCAACCUGGGAAAAUAAAUUUUGAAAUAUUCUCAGCGGGAAAAUUUAAAAUUAGAUUCACACCUUAAAAUACAAAGAGACGAUAUGUUUAUAAAUAUUUUUCUAUUUCAAAUAACGGCAAGCUUAACCUUAUUACCAUUUUUAAUCAUCUAUUUUAUGAAUUCUCAAAUUAGUAUUAUUUACUAUCAUAAGUAAUUAUUAUUAAUUUAUUUUAUCAUGUUAAAUUAUUUAAAAAGAAUUUUGAUACUGCCAAAUUUUUAUUUCUCAAUCAGAUGGAUUCACCAGCGCUAUUCGAUGAAAUUUAUUUGGAGGAAUGCCCAAAAACUUCUUCAAAUCCCGUAAAAGAACAAUUGACGUCCGACUAGAAGAAUCGACUUCAGGAGUUGGUAAUAUGAAAAAGAAGAUGGACAUCUAAAUGAAAGAAAGUAUAAGUUUAUGUGCAUAAAAGUAUAUAAAUACUAGCUAACUCCUCAGCCGAUGUCCUGCGUGAAAUUAUGUGCUUUGAAAUGGAAAGAAAGUUAUAUUUAUCAUUUCAUUUUUUGAUAAAUAACAUUUUUUGGUUUCUGUUCCGGUGUACAGAAAAGAUGGUUUACCAACUCGUGAGAACGCCACAUAAUUCAUAAAAGGGAAGAAAUGGCCCAACAAUAUACUGUCCAUGAUUGGAAGGCUCUAAUUCGCAAAAUUCACCAUUUAGUAUGCCGACUGGCUGGCGAAGAAAUCGAUAAUGUGCGAACUAAAAUUACUUCCACCCUACAUACAUAUGUACAUAGAUAACACCGGCUGCAGCUUUGGAAAUGAAUGAGAAACUAAAGUGCGAGGAAUUUGCCACAGCAACGAAAUGCAGUUCAGAGAGCGUAUGUGAUGUGUUGCGACAUCUGUACACUGACGAAUUCCUCAUUUUGUGUAACUGGUCUACUGGUGUUCAACAUAUUAUAUGAUUCUUUCAUCACUUGUGAACUGGCAAAUUUCGAAAAACAAAUUCGAAAAUCCAUCGAAAUGGGAAUUAAUUUGAAAAUCUAAUUUUUUUUAUGAAUUAAGUUUUGGAUUAGAAUAUUAAAGAAAAAUUAAUUUAAUUUAAAAAAACGCAAAAUUAGUUUUUAAUUUAUUAAA